rnacentral:rRNA from 1 species
GAUCCUGGCUCAGGAUGAACGCUAGCUACAGGCUUAACACAUGCAAGUCGAGGGGCAGCAUGGACCCAGCUUUGCUGGGUUUGAUGGCGACCGGCGCACGGGUGAGUAACGCGUAUCCAACCUGCCCUUUACUCCGGUAUAGUCUCCUGAAAGGGAGUUUAAUACCGGAUGUGUUUGUCUUUCCGCAUGUGAGCGACAAAUAAAGAUUAAUUGGUAAAGGAUGGGGAUGCGUCCCAUUAGCUUGUUGGG